AGGCCCGCUUGGGAAGCCACAGAUUUUUACUGACUUGUGUGAUCAGACUUGGACUAUAACAUGGCUUGGGAUUCCCUUGUACCACAGGUUUGGAGACACUCUAGAAGAUUGAACUCAGUCAAUAGGGGUAAACUGAGGUGGAAUUUCCUGUCUUCAAAUAAUACACCAUCCUGAAGAAUUCUAACAUUUGUACCCAGGCAACACAUCACAACAACAAUUUUACAAAUAAGAAGACUGUGUUCAAGAGAGGCCUUUUUGGCAAUUCACAGGAGAAAUAAAAAUGUAACUUCCAGGGCCAGCGUUUGCCCAGCUCUUGCUGUGGGGGCCAAGCCCAAAGUUAACAAGGACUGACAUUAAUCAUCACAUCAUUUCUAAAUGGAGUUUGCAUCCAGGAAGAACCUAAGCGAGUUUUCUCUC
rnacentral:lncRNA from 1 species